CGGCGUCCUAAUCAUGCACCNUGAGCGGAGAAAUGAGAGCUUGCUCUCAUUCCUCAGCGGCGGACGGGUGAGUAACACGUGGGCAACCUGCCCUACAGACUGGGAUAACUCCCGGAAACCGGAGCUAAUACCGGGUAAUACAUAGCAUCGCAUGAUGCAACGUUGAAAGUUGGCCUUUGGCUAACACUGUAGGAUGGGCCCGCGGCGCAUUAGCUAGUUGGUAAGGUAACGGCUUACCAAGGCCACGAUGCGUAGCCGACCUGAGAGGGUGAUCGGCCACACUGGGACUGAGACACGGCCCAGACUCCUACGGGAGGCAGCAGUAGGGAAUCUUCCGCAAUGGACGAAAGUCUGACGGANCAACGCCGCGUGAGUGACGAANGCCUUCGGGUCGUAAAGCUCUGUUGUUAGGGAAGAACAAGUACCGUUCGAAUAGGGCGGUACCUUGACGGUACCUAACCAGAAAGCCACGGCUAACUACGUGCCAGCAGCCGCGGUAAUACGUAGGUGGCAAGCGUUGUCCGGAAUUAUUGGGCGUAAAGCGCGCGCAGGCGGUCUCUUAAGUCUGAUG
rnacentral:rRNA from 1 species